AUUUUAGGUCACUGUAGUCGGCAAGCAGUUUGCAGCAGUUUUGCAUCAGUUAUCUCUGGGGAAAAAAGGGGGAAUUACUAUGAUCAAUGUGACUGGAAUUAAUUUCUUUUUAUCACUCUUUGAACAGUCACUCAAAUUUCCUCAAAUCUUGCAUUGUGUGACCCUCUUUGCCACUCAGGACAGUGUGAAACAGAACCAUUCCAUGAACGCCUCAGAUUUUGCUUUUAAAUUUUUUAUGCGAGGUGCCAGCAUUGAUGAGAAAUUAAUUGCCUAUACAUGUUGGUGCAUGGUCACUGAAAUGAGUGAGAUUGGAUGCUUUACAUUUGAAUGGGCAGAGGACGCCCUGCACUAGAUCAUAUCUUUCCCCUCACCAGUCUCCUAGCGGCAGGUGCAGUAUGUACAUAACAUGGGAAUUUGUAGUUUCUUGCUAGAGAGAGCACCAGCAUUUGUUAUCUUCAUUGAUGCAACUGUAGUGCUACACGUAGUUCAUGUACCAACCAUGCCUGUAAUUUGUGCAUCUCAGUGUCUUUUUGCUGGCCGCAGACAAUGGUGACCCCUUCAGUUGGAAUGUCAGGCCAAAGAACCUCUACUGCAUCUGUAUGCUAAAGUCUCAAGCCAUUUUCUUACAGUUCGGAUGAACUCACCGACAGUAUGCUAUGCAUGUGUUGUCAACUCUACUAGGUCGUCAUGGUUGAAGUGUUCCAUCAACUUUUUCUUAACUGACCCGUGGCUGAAAUCCAGUGAAAGUAGAAACAGUGUAUCCUUGUCAUUUGCACUGGAACCCUUGAAGAAACAGUUUGUCAAAUCUCAAAGAAGGCAGCACCAUCUGUGGAAUUCUUGAGGGCACCGGUCAAGUCUUCGAAUCUAAUCACUGAUGUCUGACUGUGUGACAUGAUCGAGUAUCCUUACUCGUCUACCUCUCUGCCUGCGGUACUAGUCAAUGUCCUGGCACUGACACCAUGCGGCACCUGUUGGAAUCAUAGCACAUCACUGAAAUGGACUCUGCAAGUUGAGGGUAACAGGGUUAUGGAAACUUUCGGAAGGGGCAUUGAAGUCUGGGAUUUGGUAGGCAGAUCAGUCCGUUGACUGGAUGUUCCAAACCAUCCAUCAUUCAGUGCUGCAAUUACAGUGGUGUGCCAUCUUGAAGAGUCCAUUUUCUUGAUGAAGAUGUACGGAUCAAGAUCUUUAAGACUCUCAUGACUCUGGUAUGUCUGGUGUGUUGCCUGCGUGUUUACUUGAAUUUUCAUGGAGGACAGUUGAGCUGUUCAUCACUGGACAUUGGAAACGUGUCAAGGAUAAGCUGUUGCAAGCAAAAAUUUCUGAUGGAGGUAAGCUGCAUUACAAUUACAUUGCAGUCAGGGAAGGGCAUGUUGAUUGAAGUAGCUGUCGAAAUUUGAUAGUAAUUUAGGUCUAUGUUGGUAUUUUAAUCUUAGCCCAUCAUGUCCUCUGUUGAAGCCAUUUCUAGUAACUUGGUCUCAAUGAGUGGACCUUCCCAUGAAAUAUCUAAAUAAGGCAUGAGCAUGCACGUUACUACCACAGGUUGGCAAAGUCGCUUAAAUCUACUAUGACGUUACAAUACAAAUCCCCAUGCAGAAGUGUGGUUCAAUCUGACCCGAGCUAGCAGCAUUAAGCAGUAGAUCCAUAAACAAGGCCCUCCUCUUGGGUCCUGGAUAUGGAUACAUGUACCUGUAUAUAGAAACAGCUUUUGAACUUUUUAAAGUUUCACCCACUGACACCCGCCUGAUUACAGCGAUAGCGCAGACAAUCGUUCCAAAAUGUCUGGCAACAAAUAGCAUUUAACAAAAUGGUUAUAAGAUUAAGAGCCCAAGCAAGAUGGCUUAAAUUGUAUUUUCUUUUAAAUUUCUUUUCCAGGAAUGCUUCGUCAAGCAACAGAAAGCAAAAGAGACAAGAAUGUUUUGAUACACAUUUGGGACAAAUUUUGUGUCGCUCUGGAGGUUCGAUAUCACACACUCAGUCCCUGACAAGGAAAAGCAGGGAUGCUGAAGGAAGUGACAAGUUGAAGUGCUGGCUCAAAAGAGAUUAUCCUGAGGUCUGCUCCAACAAACCUUUCUGGAGAAACAAGUGUAAGAUUGUCAACUCCUCCACAUAGUCAUCAAGAAGUGUGGCCAAAUCUCUGGACACUUCAGAGAAUGAUAAAUGAACCGACACGUCUGACUUGGAAGCUGCUACAGAUGUUCCCACCUCUUCAUAGGCUGUUACAGGACAGAAUGACUCUGUGCUUGAUGAGUUUUGAUGUAUAGUAAUGAGAAGAUGCUCCGGGGUUCCAAUUUGCUGCCCUCUUCAGCGUUGUCUUUUCAAGGAAACACAAAGCAUUUGGAUUUCGUAGCUGUCCUGUUCAUUACAGUUGCUUCCUUUACCUUUGUAUUAUGCCAUUUUAUUUAUAAAAAUAGCAUUUCAUCUAAAUUAAAUGUGCUCUUUUGAUAGUCAGUUUAACUAACCAGUGAGAUUAACCGUUUUGGAACAUUUUUCUAAAUGCCUUGUUUUAAUCGUAUGGCCUCUUUCGGAUAAUCCCACCAAAGUCUGAAUUACAGUCAUUUGAUUUGGAAUUGGAAGCCAUUUUUAGCACAAAAAUGAUUGGUUCUAAAAAAGUGGGCCCCGGAAUCAUAAUUACAUUAUGAGUACAUUGAGUGAAGUAUUUCUCCUGCUGUCAGCAAUUGAUUACAUUUUCAUCUCCAUUUUGGACAUCACAGCCCCCUGGUAUUUGUAUUGUUCAGAACUAAUAAACUCUCCUUUUUGGAAGUGCCUAAACAAAGUCUUGGAAGCAUAUAUUGUACAUUUUAGCAUACAAAACUUAUGGCAAACUUUGAGAUGGAAUUACUAAAAAACUGCAGGAUAUUUUUUGGGAGAACUUUUGACAACAUUUUGGAUGUACAGAUUCUCACAUUUAUGCCUUCAAAAAGUAUUCCCAGCAUUGCUGGAAAGGAACUCAUUUUCACAGCCUGUUCCUAAGUCUCAGCUGACGGCCUAAUAGUUAAAAUUAUUCAUGCUUUCCUGGACAACUGAGGGCGCUGUUGCUUGAACUCAUCUACGGAAUACAUGGUUCAGUGCAUACAUGCUAGGUGUUUCAAAUUGUGAAUGCAGUUUACCCACUGAAAAUAUUUGAGGGAGGGAUAUACACUUUCUUGUAGCUAUGCACAUUAAACAACGAUAAAUCAACAAAGAAGGGAAAACCGAAUCCAGUAAAAUCUACAAAAUUGCAAGAUUUGUGUUCAAAGCAUUGAGGCUUUCAUCCUCCUCAUUAAUAGGAAGAUACUCAUUAUUAGCAUAAAAACCAAAAAGGUAGAAGAUUAAAUGCAACACAAAGGUGCAUUUUUAGGCUGGUAUUAAAAGAAAUUGAUUGCAGCUACCCUUUAAUGAGGUUGGAGCACUUACAGUAUAUAAAAAUAUUUAAGCUAUUCCUUAAUCUUGUCAUUCAGUUUUCUCAAUCUAAUGUAAUGACAGUGGACAUUUAGCCAUUGUUGGCAAAUUUUACUGCACAAUAUUUUGCCUGGCACAUGCACAGUAACUUUUUUUCCAACAUAAAAAUUCGUACUUUGACUAGUUCUGCACUAACAAAAUCAUUGUGACUUCUCAUAAUUUCAGUUUUUUUCCUUUCAAUUAAAAAAAUAUCCAAAGCCACAAAUAAUAACAUGAAAAAGUAACACUCUGUUAUGAAAUGUUGGAUUCAAUUUAAAAAUAACCAAAAGCAUUCUUUAUUUUCUGGGAUGAAAAAGGAUGACAGCUUAAAUUUGGAUUGAAUUCAGCCAGCUAGGAGUGUAUGUUGUGACUUUAUAUGUGCAUGUGCUAUUCACUAGACUACCAAACAUAGUUUCAAUUUUGUGAUAAUCUGAUGAUCUUUAUAGGCUUAAUUAUGUGGGACAGAGGGCGCUGUCUACUUGUAGCCUGCUAAAUACUGUUAGUUAAAUUUCUAAUGACAGUGACUAAACAUCCACUGUCCUACAUGUGUAUAAUAUCCUGAAACACUCUUGCUUUUUUUCUUGUUC